rnacentral:rRNA from 1 species
AGGACGAACGCUGGCGGCGUGCUUAACACAUGCAAGUCGAGCGGAAAGGCCCUUCGGGGUACUCGAGCGGCGAACGGGUGAGUAACACGUGAGCAAUCUGCCCUUAGCUUCGGGAUAGCUCCGGGAAACCGGAAUUAAUACCGGAUAUGACUAUGGCUGACAUCAGCCACGGUGGAAAGUUUAUCGGCUAGGGAUGGGCUCGCGGCCUAUCAGCUUGUUGGUGGGGUAACUGCCUACCAAGGCGACGACGGGUA